AUUGAACGCUGGCGGCACGCCUAACACAUGCAAGUCGAGCGGCAGCGCGAUCAGUAGCAAUACUGAUUGGCGGCGAGCGGCGGACGGGUGAGUAACACGUAGGAACCUGCCCAGAAGUGGGGGAUAACUAAUGGAAACGUUAGCUAAUACCGCAUACAUUCGGGAGAAGAAAGCUGCAGCAAUGUGGCGCUUUUGGAGGGGCCUGCGUACGAUUAGCUAGUUGGUGAGGUAAUGGCUCACCAAAGCGAUGAUCGUUAACUGGUCUGAGAGGACGACCAGUCACACUGGGACUGAGACACGGCCCAGACUCCUACGGGAGGCAGCAGUGGGGAAUCUUGGACAAUGGGGGAAACCCUGAUCCAGCGAUGCCGCGUGAGUGAAGAAGGCCCUCGGGUCGUAAAGCACUUUCAGUUGGAAGGAAGGGCUUAUGGCUAAUAUCCAUAAGUUUUGACGUUACCAACAUAAGAAGCACCGGCUAACUCUGUGCCAGCAGCCGCCGUAA
rnacentral:rRNA from 1 species